rnacentral:rRNA from 1 species
CGAAUUUCGUCUCGUUGGUGACAGCGGAGGGAUCAUUACCGAGUUUACAACUCCCAAACCCCUGUGAACAUACCUUAAUGUUGCCUCGGCGGAUCAGCCCGCGCCCCGUAAAACGGGACGGCCCGCCAGAGGACCCAAACUCUAAUGUUUCUUAUUGUAACUUCUGAGUAAAACAAACAAAUAAAUCAAAACUUUCAACAACGGAUCUCUUGGUUCUGGCAUCGAUGAAGAACGCAGCAAAAUGCGAUAAGUAAUGUGAAUUGCAGAAUUCAGUGAAUCAUCGAAUCUUUGAACGCACAUUGCGCCCGCUGGUAUUCCGGCGGGCAUGCCUGUUCGAGCGUCAUUUCAACCCUCAAGCCCCCGGGUUUGGUGUUGGGGAUCGGCUCUGCCUUCUGGCGGCGCCGCCCCCGAAAUACAUUGGCGGUCUCGCUGCAGCCUCCAUUGCGUAGUAGCUAACACCUCGCAACUGGAACGCGGCGCGGCCAUGCCGUAAAACCCCAACUUCUGAAUGUUGACCCUCGGAUCAGGUAGGAAUACCCGCUGAACUUAAGCAUAUCAAUAAGCGGGAGGACAAA